AUGUCGAGCUACUUCAUACCUUGUUCUAUCAACAACACGCUACUUCGUUCCUCUCCUUAUCAGUCGAGUAUCUCCGCUCCUGACUCUAACAAGAGACCUAAGAUAGACUGGCAUCUUAUUGAGUUGUUAAACCACACUGAAUUCACUGUUCUUGAUGAUCCUCAAUAAUUCCGUUCUUUAUUUCUUCCUCUGCUGCUUGACAGAACGAGUCAUUCCUCCAAUUUCUGCCACCUACCUCGGGCUCUUUUCCCCUUGUUCGGUAGUAGCCUCGAUGCCGUAAUUCCAAGGCACAGCAUGAUUUCCCGUGUUAGGUUCCAGGAGGCUGAUAGUGAUGGGUCCCUUCGAGGGUGGAUAGGUGAUAACCAUCGGUUUUGGGAUGGGUCUGAGUGUCAGGAUUUUCGGAACCUUUGGUGCGAAAAAUGA